rnacentral:rRNA from 1 species
CUACGGGGGGCUGCAGUGGGGAAUAUUGGACAAUGGGGGAAACCCUGAUCCAGCAAUGCCGCGUGUGUGAAGAAGGCCUGCGGGUUGUAAAGCACUUUCGGUUGGGAGGACUGCUUCUAGCACUAAUAUUGUUGGAAGUUGACGUUACCUUCAGAAGAAGCACCGGCUAACUCCGUGCCAGCAGCCGCGGUAAUACGGAGGGUGGCAAGCGUUAAUCGGAAUUACUGGGCGUAAAGCGCGCGUAGGCGGCUAGAUCAGUCGGGUGUGAAAGCCCCGGGCUUAACCUGGGAACUGCAUCCGAUACUGUCGAGCUUGAGUACAGGAGAGGAGAGUGGAAUUCCACAUGUAGCGGUGAAAUGCGUAGAUAUGUGGAGGAACACCAAUGGCGAAGGCAGCUCUCUGGCCUGAUACUGACGCUGAGGUGCGAAAGCGUGGGGAGCAAACAGGAUUAGAUACCCGCGUAGUC